UGCAUAUCUGCCAUGCCAUGUAUAUUGGACAUUUAGCCAUAUAUUCAGUAUAGACAGAGAACACUUUUCUCCACCCACCACAGCAUUUUCUUUUUUUACUUCAUGCUCUGUUGAUGACAUAGGACACCUCAUGAAACGUGCCAUUGGUGAAGGUUGUAUGUUAUAUUCAGUUGUAUAUUAGAUGCCCUGCUGAGGUGACAUGCUCACAGAGCUAAUCCACUGGUGCAGAGAAGGGACAUCAAACAAUACCACUGUAACAAGUGGAUUUAAACAGGGAAAGUCUUUAUCUAUUUUGUCUGCAGGCUUAGAUUUAAAUGGUCUCAGCUUGCUUCCAAAUCCUAGCCAAUGGCACUGUCUAACUUGUUUGCCGAAGUCUGUGUUUGAUUAAUGGUAAAAAGAUGACCGUAACUUUGUGUGGUAGUCUCAUCUAAACAAAUUGUGGUGAGUCUAAAGCCUUGCUUAUCUGUUCUGGGUUCAAAGACCCAUUCAGCAGUGGUGCAGUAGUGUCUGAAGAGGUGGGCAUACUGUGAAUUUAUGAAGGAUCCCUUCAUUUAUGCCUUCAUUCUUAUGAUUUGGAAAAUGACACACGAGUCAUAUGGGCUACUUUUAUUCUGCAUAAUAAAAAAAAAGGUCAUUCAGGUUUGGAAAGACAUCAGGAGGGUGAUAGUAUUAUGAGUAAAUUAAAAAAAAAAAUUUUGGGGGUGAACUGUUCCGUUAAUACUUUAAUGUCUUUUACAACCCGAUCUCAUUAGAAGUCUUUGGAAUUCGUACGAGAUGGCUAAUUUGUAUUAAAUCCUAUGAGUCCGUUCGUAUGAAUUCGUAUGAAUUGUAGACAUGCAAAUUCCCGGAUGUGUAAUGCAGAAGUAAGUGAAAGUUUUGCAUGUCAGAUGUUGUGUACAUACUGUACUUCUUAAUUUUAUGCCCUUACCCAAACCCCAUAUCUUAACCUAGCCACAGAGUAGAGUCUUAAAGCAUUAUUUGAAGCAGAAAGAGUAUAUGUAGGACGGAAGAAAGUAAAUGUCACGUUUUAGAAGGAGAUGAGGGAGAAUCUCCUGAUUGGCUGUUGUAAAACUCAUACAAUAUCAUACGAUUUAGCCAACUCGUAUGAAUCCGUACGAUUUCUCCAUGAUAGUGUGUUGGUCUUUAAGUAAAAAAAUUGAUCUCAGUGAUUUCAACCAUGGCAUGAUUGUUGGUGCCAGAUGGAUUGGUUUGAGUAUUUCUGUAGCGUUUACAAAGAAUGGUGCCAAAAAACAUACAGUGAGCUGCAGUUCUGCGGACAGAAAUGCCUUGUUGAUGAGAGAGGUGAACAGAGAAUGGCCAGACUGGUUCAAGCUGACAAAAAGGUUACAGUAACUCAGAUAACCACUCAUUUGAUUCAACCACCACAAUUGUAGUGAGCAGAAUAGCAUCUCAGAAUGCACAACAUUGAACCUUGAGGCGGAUGGGCUACAACAGCAGAAGACCAUAUCAGGCACUUUAUUAGGACCACAGUGUUCCUAAUAAAGUGCUCAGUGAGUGAAUAUAUCUUAUUGUAAAUAAAUGUUUAAUAUAUCUUCAUAUUUGAUACAGACAACAGUUGAAGUGGGAUGGGAAGUCUUAAACUGGUCUGCGUGACAAAGCUGUGUUAGGCCAGGUGCCGUCAGUUCAUUUCUUCUGUCUGAGGAACAAUUUAUACCCUAAUUACUGCUGGAUAAGUCUUAGUUCUUGGCUGCCAAGAAAAACCAGAUGAAAGCCGUUAAUGCAGGGUGGCUUUGGAAACAAAAACCCCUCUCCAUAAAGAUGAAACACUGUCACACAUGGAACACACAAACAUGGAACAUUCCCGCUCCUAGAGAAGUUGGUGCAAUACUUUUCCCAUGGUGCUCUUCGCAUUUGACAUCAGGACAAUUGAACCAAUAUAGUUUGACGCUUCCAAAACAGCAUGAGUGGAGUGUUGUCCAACCAGGGUACAUGGGGUGCCAGGCUUCUGUCAGACCCCCUCUAUUUCAUUGCAUUAGAUAACAAAAAUCAAACUAAGUGACAAAUGAAAUUUUCUUAGAACAAAAUAGUAUUGACACAGUAAGAGCAUCAAGCUAUAAUAAUUGAUUUGGGCACUAUAGCUCAGAUAUUUUGGUCAUGGAAGAAUUUUGGGAGACAUGUUUGAGUUUAUAUUAAAAUAUCUGACUUUUAAUUUCAGACUUUGGUAUCUUGUCAAUCUGAGCACAGUUUGAGACAUUGUUGAUAUCUCAGAUGAUUCACCCAAAAGUUUAACAUAGUGGCUCUGUGGCACUCUGUGGCCUGUCCAGCCCACUGUAGCAACACUGGCUAAACCAAUGGCUUGAGUUAAGGGCAGGACUAUCUGUUUAUAAAACCAAUGGAAGACGGGGGAGUUUUCUGAAAUCUGUUUGAAAACAAUUUUUAUUACAAACUUAAUUACACACUUUAGCUUUAAGUUCCAAAUUAUUUUACAAAGUGUCUUUCAAGGCAAGUCAGUCCACUCAGGCAGCUAUUUUCUAGGAUGCAAGCAGCAUAAAAAGCAGCUCUUAUCUGCUUGAAUGAGGAAAGACUGAAAUCUCCAAAACAAUUGGUAAGGAUUACUAUCAAAGAACAUAUUUCAAAUCAGCCGUUAAAUCUGACCAAAAAUUUUUAUCAUAAGUUGUACUCAAGCUGACAGACAUGUAUGAAUCUAUAAGGUGAUUGGCUCUUUUACCUGUAAGGCGUGACUUCCUCUUCUACAUCCACCAUAUUGGGCGUUCCAAUUUCUCCCAUUCAUUUAAAUACAAGUGGUCAGUCUUGGGCUAAACAGUCUUUGACGCAAUACAGUUCAUGCCCUAUCGCCAGCUAUACUUAACACCCUCUGAUCCCACACAACCCAACGGUAUGGUUCAGAUAAAUGUACAAAGCAGUGGUGACAUGAGAGGCCAAACACAGGAGGUGAUCAGCUGUGGACAUGAUAGAUGGAUUAGCCUACUCUGAGGAUGGACACAGGAUCCAGGCACAUGUCUCUCAUCAUCGGUAGGGAGAAGGUCCACAGUAAGGGCUGUGUGGGGCCUCUGAACCAAGAUCAGAUAAACAACCUGCUGAUGGGGACUUUACUGGCUUUGCUGAAAACCAAAUGGACAUUUUCUGGUGUGAGCGUGUGUGUUUGCACAGCCAUGUUCAGCAGACACAGCCUGUCAUGUCCUGCUAAACAGUGAAUGGGGGCUCUGUUUCAUGCAGUUUGUACAUGCACUCAAUCUUCGUUGGCCCUAUGGCAGAAGUGGAACUGGCUUAGGCCCUGAAACUAUCAUUCACUGUUAUUUGUCUUAAACAUUCCUCUUAGAACACUGGCAUACAGUACGCACUUGAAUUUGACUAAAAUAACAUCUCUGUGAAAUGACAUUUGUCUUCUGGUCAGCGUUUAUUAAUGAUAUUGCAUAUCCAAAAAUACUCUGAUCCAAGACCAAUAUAAAGAGACACAUGCUAAGGUUCCUGUUAGCUUACCUCAGCAGUUACUAACCUAAAGUGUUGCGGAAGCUACUUUUUUAGCUUUCCAAGCUACAAGUUACUCAUAAUUUAAAGUAGUUAAACUGCAGUCAAGUUAUCCUUUUGAAAAAGUAGCUAGCUAAACUACUAGUAACCAGAAAAAUGUAGCAAACAACACUGAAGCUAAUUAAGGGGGUGAUAUAUUUUUAAAUAUAAAACUAUUCAAUGACAUAACUUAUAAUAUCAACGGUGAUUUUGAAGGAACAAACAAUUUCAAAUAGGAUGACAGCAUUGAACUUGAACAGAAAAAGUCAAUAAAUGCAACAACAAAAAACUAGAUUACACACUAAUCGAAAACAUCUGCAGCAUUUAACGAAAUAUUUCACUUUACAAAGACCUACAAUUUCCUGCAAACUUCUGCACAGAAUGGGUGAACUGUUUUUUGAUUCAAUUAAAAUCUGUGAAUUAUAUUUUGAAUGAAACAGUUAUACAAACCGAUUCACCAGGUUGAAUCAAACUUUCCAACACUACAAGUAUUAUGAGAGAGAGGACUGCAUGGCUCAUGAUUGCCUUAGUUCGUUUGGCUGUGAAGCAGCGUGCGCAUGUCGUAAUAUUACAAGAUGACGAAAUCAUAAGAAAUCAUACAGAUUCAACCAAUGAAUGGGCAUCAUUUAUGAAACUUUCGUAAAUAUAUGAGUAAAUUCGGAGUGAAAUUGACCUUCCCGAAAACUUUCCGCUGGAUUCACAAACGCUUCAUACCCCCAAAUUUGUUAGUGAAACGUAUGUAUGUUAGUGAAUAACAAACAUUCGUAAAGAGGGGGUCGUAUGCACGUUCAUUCACAAUUAUCAUAAUCCACACCCAUGUAAAAGCCAUACAAGGAAGGCACAAGACUCACCAGUAAAUGCUGUUAACAUCUGUGGGGAACAGUCAAGGGCGUAGAUUUGGCUUGAACAUUGAUUUGAACUGUUUCCAUUGAUCAUGGUAUAAAUAUUGGGGAAUUCCCCCCUGGAAUCUAUUCCCUUGGGAACAGUAAUGAAAUCGUUUUUAUGAAUUAAAUGCAUUCAUAUCGUACAAUUUUGAUUUAGCAAGCACAAUAGAGUCUCAAAGAAAGUUAGGACUUACUGUCAUUGCAUGUUUUUUCUGUCAUAUGAUGCUCUUUUGUGAAUCCAACAGUUUAAGUCAAUAAAAAUGAUUUGAAAUGAGUGUAAAAAUGAUCAGUUUAUGCCGGGAGGAGGAUGUCCACCUCCAUUAACCUUCUCCGGUUCAGUUCGCAGCACAUCUCCAGCAUCAUUUGUGAAACUUCUCGGAUACAUUAUGAUGGUAACAGUGAUAUACUUGCAACUGGUAGAAUCUUCAGUGACAUUAAUAGAAUGCCUGAAGAAGAUCUUUGACCGAAACGCUGUAAAAUACUACAGAUUUGCAAGCUAUAUGACAAUGAGCUGGCUUUUUCUAUUUUUUGCCCAUAGUAUUGGGUACGCACCUGCCCGUGAUGUGUUUAUUUAUGGAUUAACAGCAUUAGCAUUGACCAUAUGUUAUCAACUGAAAACCUCUUUUUUUACUAAUUUAUGUUAUUUUUUUAAGGUAAAUUUCACUAAUUUAAUGUAAUUUUUUCAUACAAUUUUUAAUUUCACUUCUAUCAAAACGUAGUCAUGGCAGUUUGCCUGAAAGAACACAACACAUUCGGAUGUCUUACGCACAAUUUACACGUAGUUGGGAGCAGGUGUGAAUUUUGUUCGUACCAACUAAUGUUUUGAAAAUACGAAAAGUUUCAUGAAACAAGAAUUCAUGUCAGAACGGCUUUAUGAAUGAUUUACACCAAAAUUAGUUCUGCUUGUGUUUCAUGAAUGAGGCCUAAUGUUAUUACAAUUUUCAUAAGUUUAACCCCUAACCUAAACCUAAACCUACCCAUUUAAAACAAAAAAAAAUAACGUGUGUACUAUCAGGUUUUUGGGAAGAGAUGAGGGAACUGACAUAAAUGAGUCAUUUGUAUUGCACAAAUAAAUAUGGAAUGAGUAAGAACUGACUUUCCUUUCUUAAAAUAUUGUGUUGGAUAUGAGGCUAGCUAAAAUUUGAUGCCUGUAUUGUAUCGAUUUGAAAUUCUGUUUGUUUAUUGGUUGGUCUCUAUAAAAGUCAUACCUUUUCUAACAAGCCAAGUCGUAUGAUAUCUUACUAUGUCACCAUCUCGUACAAAUUAUUACGAGUUGUCACGAGAGUAUGCUGAAAGUGACAUGUAGCAUUUUACCGUGUUACACUGCUACUUUUUAAAAAACAUAGCUUGUUACUGGAAAAGCUACAGUAUUUUGAAAACAGCUGAGCUACUGUCAUGCUUAAGUUAGUAGUGUUUCUACUUUUAGUUAGUUACUCCCUGACACAAUUAGUCUCACUAUCUCUGCUGAAUCCUAAAAAAUGUCAUUGAAAUUUGAAGUCUGAAACCUGUGUGAAGUGCCUGCUGCUCCAAACUACCUGUGAUAAAGUUUCCUCACAUCAUGUCUCAGCUAAUUUCUGGCUGAUGAAAGCCUAGAGUAUUCUGUUCACAGCUCUGGAGAGGGAAAAAGAGGAGAGUAGAGUGGGUGAUAGCCAGAUGUGUGCCCUUGCUCCAACGGCUUCCUCAUUACAGCCAUCUGCCUGUCCUCCAGGGCCUGUGGCAUAUCAGGGCCACUGCAGUCACUUCGGCCAAGCCUAUCUGUGGAAGCCCCUCUCAGCAAUGCAAUGACUGAGUAAGAACAGGCACCUAGAGAUAAGGGCACUAAGGCUAGAGGAAGCAAUAUGAUAGUGUGAACGUGUUUAACUCACUCACUCUCUCUCUAUCUAUUUUCACCUUUUUAUUUUUGCCUGCUCUCUUUCUCUGUCUCCUUUACUCUCUCUUUGUGAAUGUGUAUGUCUUUGUAUGUCUUCGCCUAUCAGUGUCAAUGUGUGUAUGUGCGCGCUUGUAUUUAUGUGGAAGGUGAUGAGUGAGAACCAGGCCCACGGGAGAUCACGUCACCUCAGAGAUAGCCACUAUUGCCUAGCAACAGGGCCAUUAGGCCCAGAGAUGGAACUGAGAAGGGAAAGGCGAUCCACUUUUUAAAAAUCAUAAUAAUGGAUCUUUUCAAAUCGAGAGACAAAACGGAUUAACCCCCAUAAAGCUAAAACCCAUAUUAGUCUGCUUUAAUUGGCAUUCAUGAAAGGUAACAAACUGAAUCUGGAGAUUAACCAUAUCACAUUUACAAUACCGAAAUUAACCAAAUGUAAUCAUAAACAGACCAAAUGAGAUAUAAAUACAUAUUACACCCUUGAGUAUGUUUAAUUGUUAAACAGCCUCCACUACAAUUUUGAGUUAUAAUAAGUAGCUUUAUCUAUUCCUGUGUGUUUUGAAAAGGGCUUGCCUACUUUGUGGUAAAACAGGGAUAAAUCUUUAAUAAUAUCUUCUUACUGGGUUUUGGUCAGGGAAACUUUACAAGAAUUAAAAGAAUUUGAACGUUACUUUUGAAAUUAUAUUAUACUAAUUAUUAUUAUACUAAUCUUCAGUGUGUUUAGUAUAAAGAAAGCGAGAUACAGCCACACACUCUUCUCUUCCAGCAGUUUAUUCAACAGCCAUCAUUCAAAUCCUUCCUCAAAUCCUGCUUUUCUUUAAUGGUAUAACAGUACCUACACAGCCAUGUGAGGAGUUCAAUAAAGCUUUAAACCAUUCAACUGUCAAACUCUAAGCAAAUAAUCUCUUAGUGAUAUGGGGUGUCCUUUUGAAUAACAAGCAGAGAGACAUCCAUAUUCAUGAAGAAAAUUGAUGCAUGCAGUGACCUCUCAGAAUUUAAAUGUGCAUAACAGUAUCUCUGCUUUAGGUAUAGAUAUAUUAGUGACAUUAGGAUAUGUUAACAUUUGUUUAAAACAAUAGUUAACAUGAAUAAACAAUGAACAAUACAUUUACAGUAUUUAUUCAUCUUGGUUGAUGUUAAUUUCUCAAGAUACUACUAAAUUUUUAACAUUACAAAUUGUAUACAUUAACAUUAGUUAAUGCAUUAUGAACUAACAAUGAACAAUAGUAUAUUUAUAAAUUAAAAUUAACCAAGAUUAAUACAUUCUUUCAAAAACCGUUCAUUGUUAGUUUAUGAUAUCUAAUACAUUUACUAAAUAUAAGCUGUGUCCCAAAUGACGCACUAUACACUAUACACUAUACACUUACAGAAUACACUAUGCACUCAGCCAUGUUGUGUAUAUAUUGUCAUCCCAAAUGGAACAUGUGAUGAGGAAGAGGGCAUGGCCGGGCACCAAUGCUGAAUCAGUUGAUCAGCAGGAGAACGAGAUAAAGGGGGGCCGGAGAAGCCAGUUCGAGAGAGAGAGAGAGAGAGAGAGCGAGAGACGCAGCGGCCUUGCUGCAUGUGUGUGUGUGUUUGUUUAUGUUUGUUUUAUGUUAAGUUUUACAUUAAACUUUAUGCUGACUGUUCAGCCAGUUCCCGCCUCCUCCUUGUCCAUCCUUAUACUGUUACAGUGGUGCCAAAUCCUGGGAAGGAGGAGGGAUGCGCUGUCGUGGAGUUCUUGCCGCUGCCAUCCACCAAAGGAGCAGCCGUGGCCGUCUGUCUGGGGAUGGAAGGGUCGCUGCCGGCCACCGAGAGCCGGAGGAACUGCUACCGUCCGCCGAGAAGGGGAGGAGCGGUUCCAUCCGCCAGGGGACGGAGGGCUCGCUGCCGUCUGUAGAGGGAGGAGCGAGCUGUCAUCCGCCAAUGGGUGGAGGAACGGUUGAGGACCGGGCGACAGCAUGUCCAUGGACCAGCGAGCAAGUUUUUCUCUCUCUCUCCUUUCUCUCUCUCUCUCUCUCUCUCUCUCUCUGUGUCUCCCGUCUGCCCUUUCCCUCUCCCCACGCCUCCCCUUGUCUCUCCUCCAGGUUCCCAGGAAGCUGGUUGGACCACCGGCUGACAGAACAGCUGGAAGAGCAGCGUCUCCCCUCCAGAGAUGGGGUGGGGGAGUAAGUCAGUCCGGUGGUACCCCGGCCUGAAUCCGGCGGGGGAGGAAUGUGACGAGAAGGAGGGUGUGGCCGGGCCGUGAGGGUGCACGGCCGGUGCUAAAAUCAGCUGAUCAGCGGAUGAGCGGGAUAAAGGGGGGCCGGAGAUGCCAGUUCAAGAGAGAGAGGGAUGCACGCAGCCACACUGAAUGUGUGUGUGUGUGUGUGUGUGUGUGUGUGUGUGUUUGUUUAUGUUUGUUUUAUGCUUAGUUUUACAUUAAACUUUAUGUUGA